CAAAGAAUAGUUUAUUUAAAAUAUUAAUUUUGGAGAUUAAUGAUAGGGGUGUUCCUUUCUUUGA
rnacentral:tRNA from 1 species